GCCCGGGUAGCUCAAUCGGCAGAGCAUGAGAUUCUUAAUCUCGGGGUGGUGUGUUUGAGCCCCACGUUGGGCG